rnacentral:lncRNA from 9 species
CACUGGCCAGGACCCCUCCCUGCAGGGACCCCAGCCCUCAGCCUCCCACUGCACCCAGAAUACACUCCUGUGUCCAGGUCUCACCUGGCCUGACAGGUAACCAAAAGAACCAGGCAGGACCCUGCCUGAGUCUACUCAAGAGCACCCAGGCUUGGAGUUCCCGUCGUGACUCAGUGGUUAACGAAUCCGACUAGGAACCAUGAGGUUGCGGGUUCGGUCCCUGCCCUUGCUCAGUGGGUUAACGAUCUGGCGUUGCGUGAGCUGUGGUUUAAGUCGCAGACGCGGCUCGGAUCCCGAGUGCUAUGGCUCUGGCGUAGGCUGGUGGCUACAGCUCCAAUUCAACCCCUAGCCUGGGAACUUCCAUAUGCCGUGGGAGCGGCCCAAGAAACUGCAAAAAGACAAAAAAAAAAAAAAAAAAAAAAAAAAAAGAGCACCCAGGCUCAGUGGGGGAUGACAGAGUUGCCAGUACUCCUGGGGCCCAGAGUGAGGUGUCUGAUCUGAUUUCCCACCAGUCAGGUGAAGGCCAGAGACACAUGCAAAGCCAGUGCAGUGUUGGCUCCUCUCCUCACAGUGCUGAGCCCAGAGCAGAAGACAGGCUUCCAGGCUGUCAGAAGGCACUGCGAGUGAGGAAAGAGAUGCUUCUGGCAGAGCAGCUGCGGCCAGGAUGGCUUCUUCCUGAGCUCAGACUACACCUCCUAGACCACCUGUGUGACACCAGGGCCACAUGACACUCUCACAAUUGGAAUGAGAGAAGCUUGAGCAGUGCCGCCGAUCUGUGGAGGGGGAGUGUGCCUUCACCAUCUUUCUCUUCCAGUAGGACACAGAAGCUCCGAGGACUCUGAGGGACCACAGAGAAGCAGCUUCAGGCCCCAAAUGACUGCCUGGAACUGAAAUUUCCCUCCAUGCAAACCCCAAUGGACAGGGACUAGAGCAGCGGACUUUCAGCCUCCAGCUACUAAGGCUGACGGUGCUUGUCACAGCUGUCAGUCUCUGUGCAGACAGUUAUCCAAGUCCCUCCCCCAGGUGUCAGGGUGAUUGUGGAGGUGCAGACUAAGGGGGGGACUGUAAGACAGUUAUACCCCAGGGAAUUCUGUCAUCCACUACUUGCACUCUGUCAAAGAGACCACAGCUCCAAGAGCCCCACCCUGGGAUGAAUCACUUCUGUACAGUAGCCUUCAUGGCAGUGUUGUCAGCAACAAAAGUAAAAGGGUGCUGGGAAAAUUACAGGAUAAAUAAAAUGAAUGGGUGUUUCUUAUGUGAUGAUACUGAAACACCUCAAAAAAAAAAAAAAAAAAGAUAUAACAACAUACAAUUCAGUAGUUUUCAAAUAUGAUCCAAGGACCUCUGAGGGUGCCCAAAGCCCUUUCAGAGGGUCUGCAAGUUCCUCCCUUUCCAACUAUGUAUCUAUGUGAAGCCAUAUUUCCUUCAAUACCUCAAGCCCCCCAAAAGUCACAACAGACUGAAUGCAUAAGUGGAUAGGCAUAUCUAUUAAGCCAGGUGUUAAAUUUUUUCAAAUGUGAAAACACUUUGCCUCACUUUGUAUUGGAAAAUUUUUUUUAUAAACUGUAUUUUUAAAACGUUACUCCUGGGAGUUCCUGUUGUGGCUCAGCUGUAACAUACCCAACUAGUAUCCAUGAGAACACAGGUUUAAUCCCUGGCCUUGCUCAGUGGGUUAAGGAUCCGGUAUUGCCGUGAGCUAUGGUGUUGGCUGCAGAUGUGACUCAGAUCCCAAGUUGCUGUGGCUGUGGUACAGGCCAGCAGUUGCAGCUCUGAUUCAACCCCAACCCUGGAAACUUCCAUUGCCACAGGUAUGAC